GACGAACGCUGGCGGCGUGCCUAAUACAUGCAAGUCGAGCGCUUAAGGUUGGUACUUGUACCAUCUGGAUGAGCAGCGAACGUGUGAGUACCGCGUGGGUAAUCUGCCUUUGAUCGGGGGACCACAUUUGGAAACGAAUGCUUAUACCGCAUAAAAUCUUUAAACACAAGUUUUAUGUUUGAAAUAUGCAAUUGCAUCACUCAAACAUGAUCCCGCGUUGUUUUAGUUAGUUUGUGAGGUAAAGGCUCACCAAGGCGGUGAUACAGAGCCGGCCUGAGAGGGAGGUCGACCAGAUUGGGAAUGGGACACGGCCCAAACGGCUCAGAGAGGCGGCAGUAGGGAAUCAUCGGGAAAGGAGGAAAGACUGACGGAGAAACGCCGGGUGAGUGAAGAAGGAACUCGGAUCGUGAAACUCUGUUGGUAGGGAAGAAAGGUGGUGAGAGUGGAAAGGUCAUGAAGUGACGGUAACUACACAGAAAGGGACGGCUAACUACGUG
rnacentral:rRNA from 1 species